rnacentral:tRNA from 1 species
GGGAAUGUGGCUUAGUGGUAGAGUGCUUGCCUACCAUGCAUGAAGCCCUGGGUUCGAUUCCUGAGUACCA